rnacentral:rRNA from 1 species
CGAACGCGUCGGCAUCUCACACAUUCAGAUGCACGGGCAGGCAACUGUCAGUGGCGGACGGGUAGUACGCAAUUAUCUUGGGUUGGGGACACCGUGGGAAACUACGGCUAAUACCGCAUAUCCCUGAGGGGCAAAGGCGAAAGUCGCCUGAGGAGGAGCCUGCGUCUGAUUAGGUAGUUGGUGGGGUAAAGGCCUACCAAGCCUUCGAUCAGUAGCUGGUCUGAGAUGAUGAUCAGCCACACUGUGACUGAGACACAGCCCAGACUCCUACGGGAUGCCACAGUGGCGAAUAUUGGACAAUGGGCGAACAGCCUGAUCCAGCAAUGCCGCGUGGAUGACGCAGGUCUUCGUACUUGUAACGUCCUUAUGGACAGGGACGCAUAAUGACCGGGUACCCUACAGAAAUACGCUCCGGCUAAAUUCGUGACCAGGAGCCGGUGUUAGUACGAAAGUGGACUAACGUAGCUCGGCAUGACUGGGGUUAAAUGGCGC